AUUGAACGCUGGCGGCAGGCCUAACACAUGCAAGUCGAACGGUAACAGGAAGCAGCUUGCUGCUUCGCUGACGAGUGGCGGACGGGUGAGUAAUGUCUGGGAAGCUGCCUGAUGGAGGGGGAUAACUACUGGAAACGGUAGCUAAUACCGCAUAAUGUCGCAAGACCAAAGAGGGGGACCUUCGGGCCUCUUGCCAUCGGCUGUGCCCAGAUGGGAUUAGCUUGUUGGUGGGGUAACGGCUCACCAAGGCGACGAUCCCUAGCUGGUCUGAGAGGAUGACCAGCCACACUGGAACUGAGACACGGUCCAGACUCCUACGGGAGGCAGCAGUGGGGAAUAUUGCACAAUGAGCGCAAGCCUGAUGCAGCCAUGCCGCGUGUAUGAAGAAGGCCUUCGGGUUGUAAAGUACUUUCAGCGGGGAGGAAGGGAGUAAAGUUAAUACCUUUGCUCAUUGACGUUACCCGCAGAAGAAGCACCGGCUAACUCCGUG
rnacentral:rRNA from 1 species